AUCUAGCGAGGUGACCUUUGGGAUGUGAGUCGGAAUGCUGUGGAUUCCCGGAAGGAAACAGGGCCUCGAAGGAUGCUGUUCUGGGAAUCUGGAGUUGUUGACUUUCAGCAUAACAAACCCAGCAAUUUAGGCUGGGUUGAGUUACAGAAGCUACGUGGAUUGGCCAGUCUGAAAGCCGGAUACGGAAAGCAGUGAGAAGAAGAGCAAAAGAGUGUGUUGAAUACCACACAGCAAAAGAUCAAAGCUUUUCAUUGGAAUCAUUCAAAGGAAGAGAUGUUUCGAGAUGGAGGUUCAAGGGUGUCUAUUGGCUACACUGGCUGCUGCUUGCUAAGUAGCCAUAGAGAAGUGUGAUAGAGAUGGAUCCACGUGAGGAGGAGGAUUUCAGUGCAUCAUUUGUAAUUGCAAUCAAUGAACUCCAGGGCUGAUUGGCACGGUAACAAAGGAGAAGCCUUGAGCAUUUUGCACUGAAAGAGGCUCUGUGAACAAUAGGCAGCUUUCACCUCUCCCCCCACAAGCACAGAAAUAAUUUUAAAAAUGUAGAACUUGCGUCAAGGAUCCCUGAUGACCCUACAGGAGACAUAUUGUAUUGUCUGAAUCUUGCACAGCUGUAGGCAUAGUCCUUCUCAGUAUAGGAGAGAUUCAAUGACAUGAAUCAUUCGUAUUAGAAAACAGAUUAUUAUCUGAGUAAGUCAACUUCUUAAAUGUGUAUUAUUGAAACCUAUGCAGAUAUACCACAUUGUCUGUUGAAUGGAUGCAAUCUAUUGAAAGUUGCUGUGAAAAAUGGGAGCGUUUUAUGAGGCAACUCAUUAGCUGAUGGUUUCUGAUGUUUAAAGCCUGGAUAUCUAUGCUAGUGAAUCUCGAAGCGUCUCCGAGUUUCUUGCUUGACCUAUGAUGGUUGUUGCUCAGAGCUCAGAGCUCAGAGGCUGGACACCAUUGAGAGCACAAUUUGACUUAGAUACACUACCUUCUUUCACAGUUGCAUGCUAAGCCUUCGUUAAAUGUUUUGAUAAGACAUUUCACUUUCCACAAUGUCUCCUUGUUUGCAGGCCUGGUACUGUGCUGGUCAGUGUGCCUCUGAGUGGGAAUGUCCUUGCAAUCACACAGACUGACAGAGUCUUACACCACACGGCCUCCCCAGGCCAUUCGCUGAGAUGCGAUCAAUUCCUGUAACGCUGGAAAUGUGGGGACUCUUUUGUUUAGAGAUGCAAUAAACCGCUGUUGAAAAGAUCACCCUCCUUUCUGUUCUUUAAAUAAAACCUCCACGUUUUUCUUACAAUUGGAAAAAGAAGGAAUUCAAGAUGUCGUCCUACCUGCAUCACAGUGUAGCAGAACAAAGCCCUUACUUUUCAGUGGCUAAUUGAACAGGUCUAGAGCUGCAGGGAGAGAGCACAUCUGAGACAAAAGGAAAAACGAGUGCUGAUCACCCAUUAUUAUUUGCAUAGCAGAUGCCCUUAUUUAGGUGGGUCAGAAUGUAGUGUAUUUUUUUUCUAUGAAAUAUGGAAGUGUAUAAGGGUGUCUGAUCAGUAAAGGAAUAUCACAACAUUUCUACCAUUUUAGUAAUGGGGUGUCAAACCCCCAGUCAGCAGUAUUAAAGCAAGGAUGUUCCAGCUCACUGAUGCACUGACCAGCGUGAUUACUGGCACCUAACCAGGACUGCAAGGCUGAGGGAGGGAAAUGCAAUGCUGAUCCUGAACGUGCACCAGUGUUUCCAGUCCCCCUAUAACAAAGUAAGCAUUUGAAGGAUCUAACAUGCUGUAGGGAGAGUCUUCCUUUGAGUCUCACAAGACUCAAAAACUUUUGUGGUUUGCCUCAUCAAUGAGAGCACAUGAGGCCUGCUGGCCAGCGUGCAUAUCUUCUGUACGCUAAUUCAUAAGCUGUUGCUGCCACCUAGUGUAUACGUUUGAAGAAGUCUAAGCUUUGUUCAGCUCAGUAGGUUUUCUUCAUGAAGAUUUCUGCAUCUUAAAUGGACGAUGUGGUGGCAUUCCUAGUUAGUGCUGCUAUCUUCAGGUUUGGGGUUUCAGUGGAGCACUGUGUGUAAUGAGUUUGCAUGUUCAGGGCAUGUGCAUUUCUGCCGAGCUGUCCAGUUUCCUCCCACAGUCCAAAGACACACUGACCAGGUUAGCUGAUGACCCUGAGUUGUGUUUCCGUGUCCUGCAAUGAACUGGUUUCCCAUCCAGUCUGCCCCAUGCUGCUGGGCUCAGCUCCAGCUUGUUACGACUCUAAACUAGAAUAAGAAGCUUUCUGAUAAUGGAUGGGUGGACAGAUGAACUGAAUACACAACAUCUCUGUUUGAGUGCGAAACAAACACCAUACAACUAGCACCCCAGUAGCUGAACCCAGGGCCCCAGCAUUGUGAGGUACAGUGUAUUUUGUUAUUCUCCAAGUUUAAAUAACUUUUUGACAAAAAGCCUUAGCUAAGUGUAAAAGUGGUGAACAUCAGUGCACUGCAUUAGAAGGUUAAUAUGUGGCCUGUGUGUGUGGUACGUAUUUGAGCUGAAGACAGACAUUGAUAUUUCUUCAGAAAGAGAGCACAGGGGAAUUCUUUGCCGAGUCAGACUUGCAGACCGUGUGUAUUGUGUCAAUACAGUUCCGUACCGAAGCCCUGUGCACCUCUGUUGCUCUGCCUGUCUUAUUGUUUGUGAAAAAUCUUAUUUGUCACUUUGAUAAAUGACCCUAAGCAGUGCCAGAGCACUACAACCAAGUCCCAGGCCUUUCUGUCUCCCUCCGACAGGAGGAAUGAAUGAAUCCCCCAGGCAGUUUCCUUGUGUCUCCCUUUCUGUGCAAAGCCUGACCACAGCCUGGCCAUAGAAACUGGGCGACACAGGCAG